rnacentral:tRNA from 1 species
AUUCUAUUAGUAUAUUAGUAUAUUUAACUUCCAAUUAAAAGGAUUAAUUCAAUUAAAUAGAAUA